rnacentral:rRNA from 1 species
GGCGAACGGGUGAGUAAUACAUCGGAACGUGCCCGAUCGUGGGGGAUAACGAAGCGAAAGCUUUGCUAAUACCGCAUACGAUCUACGGAUGAAAGCAGGGGACCGCAAGGCCUUGCGCGAACGGAGCGGCCGAUGGCAGAUUAGGUAGUUGGUGGGAUAAAAGCUUACCAAGCCGACGAUCUGUAGCUGGUCUGAGAGGACGACCAGCCACACUGGGACUGAGACACGGCCCAGACUCCUACGGGAGGCAGCAGUGGGGAAUUUUGGACAAUGGGCGAAAGCCUGAUCCAGCCAUGCCGCGUGCAGGAUGAAGGCCUUCGGGUUGUAAACUGCUUUUGUACGGAACGAAAAGACUCUGGUUAAUACCUGGGGUCCAUGACGGUACCGUAAGAAUAAGCACCGGCUAACUACGUGCCAGCAGCCGCGGUAAUACGUAGGGUGCAAGCGUUAAUCGGAAUUACUGGGCGUAAAGCGUGCGCAGGCGGUUAUAUAAGACAG